rnacentral:rRNA from 1 species
GUGGGGAAUCUUGCGCAAUGGGCGAAAGCCUGACGCAGCCAUGCCGCGUGAAUGAUGAAGGUCUUAGGAUUGUAAAAUUCUUUCACCGGGGACGAUAAUGACGGUACCCGGAGAAGAAGCUCCGGCUAACUUCGUGCCAGCAGCCGCGGUAAUACGAAGGGGGCUAGCGUUGCUCGGAAUUACUGGGCGUACAGGGCGCGUAGGCGGACAGCUUAGUCAGAGGUGAAAGCCCAGGGCUCAACCUUGGAAUUGCCUUUGAUACUGGCUGGCUUGAGUUUGGGUGAGGUGAGUGGAACUCCGAGUGUAGAGGUGAAAUUCGUAGAUAUUCGGAAGAACACCAGUGGGGAAGGCGACUCACUGGCCCAAUACUGACGCUGAGGCGCGAAAGCGUGGGGAGCAAACAGGAUUAGAAACCCGGGUAGUCC